CCUUAAGUAACCAAGAAAGUAGGUACUAAACUUUUAAUUUAGUCACGAUAAUUUUUAUUUAUCCUUA
rnacentral:tRNA from 1 species